GCUGGGAUAGCUCAGUUGGUAGAACAUGAGACUCAUAGUCUCAGGGUUGGGGGUUCGAGCCCCACAUUGGGCA